GACGAACGCUGGCGGCGUGCUUAACACAUGCAAGUCGAACGGUGAAGGGACCGGUUUUUGCUGGUUCUGGAUGAGUGGCGAACGGGUGAGUAACACGUGAGUAACCUGCCCCCUUCUUCUGGAUAACCGCAUGAAAGUGUGGCUAAUACGGGAUAUUCUGCGCCUGCUGCAUGGUGGGUGUGGGAAAGAUAUUGUUUCGGUGGGGGAUGGUCUCGCGGCCUAUCAGCUUGUUGGUGGGGUGAUGGCCUACCAAGGCGGUGACGGGUAGCCGGCCUGAGAGGGUGGACGGUCACACUGGGACUGAGACACGGCCCAGACUCCUACGGGAGGCAGCAGUGGGGAAUAUUGCACAAUGGGCGCAAGCCUGAUGCAGCGACGCCGCGUGAGGGAUGGAGGCCUUCGGGUUGUAAACCUCUUUCGCCAGUGAAGCAGGCCUGUCCCUUUUGUGGGUGGGUUGACGGUAGCUGGAUAAGAAGCGCCGGCUAACUACGUG
rnacentral:rRNA from 1 species